rnacentral:rRNA from 1 species
CCUACGGGUGGCUGCAGUGGGGAAUAUUGCACAAUGGGCGCAAGCCUGAUGCAGCCAUGCCGCGUGUGUGAAGAAGGCCUUCGGGUUGUAAAGCGCUUUCAGCGGGGAGGAAGGCGGUGAGGUUAAUAACCUCAUCGAUUGACGUUACCCGCAGAAGAAGCACCGGCUAACUCCGUGCCAGCAGCCGCGGUAAUACGGAGGGUGCAAGCGUUAAUCGGAAUUACUGGGCGUAAAGCGCACGCAGGCGGUCUGUCAAGUCGGAUGUGAAAUCCCCGGGCUCAACCUGGGAACUGCAUUCGAAACUGGCAGGCUAGAGUCCUGUAGAGGGGGGUAGAAUUCCAGGUGUAGCGGUGAAAUGCGUAGAGAUCUGGAGGAAUACCGGUGGCGAAGGCGGCCCCCUGGACAAAGACUGACGCUCAGGUGCGAAAGUGUGGGGAGCAAACAGGAUUAGAUACCCAGGUAGUC